CUGCCACGGGUCCUGCGGUGGGAAGUUGUCUGUCAGUUUAUGGCUUUCCAGUAACGUGGAGCGCCGGAAUUCCACAGCUGCGUGCUUGCUGACCCAGAGCGUGCAGGAGAGCAGCGGCGCUGCAUUUCGGUGUUCUGGAGGCGAACAAGGGACAUAUCAAGUACCAUCAGGGUGUACCUAAUAAAAUGGCCGGGCUGCUCCUAGCCGAUAUGACACUCCAGGCAAGCAUCACCGCCGGCGCCCCCUAUCUGAGGCAGACUGAAAUUGACUGGCAAGUCAGGGCCCCCUCAGAUGAUGC